rnacentral:rRNA from 1 species
CAAGCAGUGGGAGCCUUCGUAAGAGGGUGACUGCGUACCUUUUGUAUAAUGGGUCAGCGACUUAUAUUCUGUAGCAAGGUUAACCGUAUAGGGGAGCCGAAGGGAAACCGAGUCUUAAUUGGGCGUUAAGUUGCAGGGUAUAGACCCGAAACCCGGUGAUCUAGCCAUGGGCAGGUUGAAGGUUGGGUAACACUAACUGGAGGACCGAACCGACUAAUGUUGAAAAAUUAGCGGAUGACCUGUGGCUGGGGGUGAAAGGCCAAUCAAACCGGGAGAUAGCUGGUUCUCCCCGAAAGCUAUUUAGGUAGCGCCUCGUGAACUCAUCUCCGGGGGUAGAGCACUGUUUCGGCUAGGGGGCCAUCCCGGCUUACCAACCCGAUGCAAACUGCGAAUACCGGAGAAUGUUAUCACGGGAGACACACGGCGGGUGCUAACGUCCGUCGUGAAGAGGGAAACAACCCAGACCGCCAGCUAAGGUCCCAAAGUCAUGGUUAAGUGGGAAACGAUGUGGGAAGGCCCAGACAGCCAGGAUGUUGGCUUAGAAGCAGCCAUCAUUUAAAGAAAGCGUAAUAGCUCACUGGUCGAGUCGGCCUGCGCGGAAGAUGUAACGGGGCUAAACCAUGCACCGAAGCUGCGGCAGCGACGCUUAUGCGUUGUUGGGUAGGGGAGCGUUCUGUAAGCCUGCGAAGGUGUGCUGUGAGGCAUGCUGGAGGUAUCAGAAGUGCGAAUGCUGACAUAAGUAACGAUAAAGCGGGUGAAAAGCCCGCUCGCCGGAAGACCAAGGGUUCCUGUCCAACGUUAAUCGGGGCAGGGUGAGUCGACCCCUAAGGCGAGGCCGAAAGGCGUAGUCGAUGGGAAACAGGUUAAUAUUCCUGUACUUGGUGUUACUGCGAAGGGGGGACGGAGAAGGCUAUGUCGGCCGGGCGACGGUUGUCCCGGUUUAAGCGUGUAGGCUGACUUUCCAGGCAAAUCCGGAAAGUUAAGGCUGAGGCGUGAUGACGAGGCACUACGGUGCUGAAGUGACAAAUGCCCUGCUUCCAGGAAAAGCCUCUAAGCAUCAGGUAACAUCAAAUCGUACCCCAAACCGACACAGGUGGUCAGGUAGAGAAUACCAAGGCGCUUGAGAGAACUCGGGUGAAGGAACUAGGCAAAAUGGUGCCGUAACUUCGGGAGAAGGCACGCUGACAUGUAGGUGAAGCCCCUGCGGGUGGAGCUGAAGUCAGUCGAAGAUACCAGCUGGCUGCAACUGUUUAUUAAAAACACAGCACUGUGCAAACACGAAAGUGGACGUAUACGGUGUGACGCCUGCCCGGUGCCGGAAGGUUAAUUGAUGGGGUUAUCGCAAGAGAAGCUCCUGAUCGAAGCCCCGGUAAACGGCGGCCGUAACUAUAACGGUCCUAAGGUAGCGAAAUUCCUUGUCGGGUAAGUUCCGACCUGCACGAAUGGCGUAAUGAUGGCCAGGCUGUCUCCACCCGAGACUCAGUGAAAUUGAACUCGCUGUGAAGAUGCAGUGUACCCGCGGCAAGACGGAAAGACCCCGUGAACCUUUACUACAGCUUGACACUGAACAUUGAGCCUUGAUGUGUAGGAUAGGUGGGAGGCUUUGAAGCGUGGACGCCAGUCUGCGUGGAGCCGACCUUGAAAUACCACCCUUUAAUGUUUGAUGUUCUAACCUGGCGCCGUGAUCCGGCGUGGGGACAGUGUCUGGUGGGUAGUUUGACUGGGGCGGUCUCCUCCCAAAGUGUAACGGAGGAGCACGAAGGUCAGCUAAUCCUGGUCGGACAUCAGGAGGUUAGUGCAAUGGCAUAAGCUGGCUUGACUGCGAGAGUGACGGCUCGAGCAGGUGCGAAAGCAGGUCAUAGUGAUCCGGUGGUUCUGUAUGGAAGGGCCAUCGCUCAACGGAUAAAAGGUACUCCGGGGAUAACAGGCUGAUACCGCCCAAGAGUUCAUAUCGACGGCGGUGUUUGGCACCUCGAUGUCGGCUCAUCACAUCCUGGGGCUGAAGUAGGUCCCAAGGGUAUGGCUGUUCGCCAUUUAAAGUGGUACGCGAGCUGGGUUUAGAACGUCGUGAGACAGUUCGGUCCCUAUCUGCCGUGGGCGCUGGAGAAUUGAGGGGGGCUGCUCCCAGUACGAGAGGACCGGAGUGGACGCAUCACUGGUGUUCGGGUUGUCAUGCCAAUGGCACUGCCCGGUAGCUAAAUGCGGAAGAGAUAAGUGCUGAAAGCAUCUAAGCACGAAACUUGCCCCGAGAUGAGUUCU